rnacentral:tRNA from 1 species
AUUACCUUGGUCUUGUAAACCAAAAAUGGAGAGUAACCGCCCUCCCUAAGACU